GUGCUCACUUUAACAUCACAUAUGCUAACAAUUGGAAAGAUACAGAGAUUAGCAUGGCCCCUGGGUAAGGAUGACACACAAAUUUGUGAAGCAUUCCAUAAAAAA
ensembl:snRNA U6 U6 spliceosomal RNA